UAGAUUAUAGUGUGAUAUGGUAGCACGGAGAAUUUUGAGUUCUUAAGGAUAGGUUCAAUUCCUAUUGUUCUAG
ensembl:Mt_tRNA